GACUGCGGUUCUCCUCCAUAAAUGCCCAACCACGUUCAUAUCUCAACCUUGCUACUGCUCGCUGUGCUGAUGGUGAUGGUUUCAAUUCAAUCAUCUAUACCCAUAAACCUCAAGACCUAAACAGCUCCUCCUCACUGUGCUUCUUCCAUGAUCCAUCAAUGAUAAUCUCACAGUUCCUCCUCAUUAAUUAGUCCUUCGGACCUUCAAACCCUACCUGCACUUAAAAAUAUUAAAGCAGCAGCAGCAGAAGAAGAAGAAGAAGAAGAAGAAGAAGAAGAAGAAGAAAGGAAGGCAAUGGAGCUCAAGCUCAGCAUCAUCACUACCAUCCUCAUCCUCUUCUUCAUCCUGUCCCUGCCCAACUCACCCCGAGGACUAGCAGGUGGAUCACCUGAUUCAGAAAUUUUAGAACAUGAGAUUUAUGAGAUUGAUUACCGAGGUCCCGAGACACAUUCAUCAACUCCUCCCCCUAUGAGAUCAAGAUCAUGCGGUCACGGUCGUGGUCAUGGUUGCUCCAUGAUUCAUCAUCACGAUCCAAGAAGAGCUCAUGGUGUGAGAGGAGAUAAAACUAUAAAUGGUUAAGGAAGAGAAACAUGGAAGAGUACUUGAUUGCUUGGUUGGACUAGGGUUACUACUACUACUGCUGCUGCUAUGGGAAGGUAUACAAACAAAAUUAAACCCUAUGUAUGAUUAUGUGGUGUCCAAUAAUUGUAGUUCUCUCCUCUUCAAUGUCUGUACCUCUUUAUUUUCUUGUUUCUGUAAAUGAGGAAUUGAAUGUGCAAAGUGUUGACUUUAAUCAGGCAGUUUAGUUCUCUUGCUUGAUGAUUUGAAUAAAUUCUGGUGUUUGCUUUAGCAGA